GCCUGGCGCCGGAGUCGGGCCGGGCCUUGGCCGCCGCCUUUGCGGCCGCCGACCCGCCUGGGCUCCCGCGGGCCUGGGGAGAAGGGGUCGCUCAGGAAUAAGCGGUGCUUCGCGGGUAGAGCUUGGCUUUCCUACCGAGACUUGGGUUUGCUUAUUUUUCUCCCUUCCUUCCUGCCUGUUGAAAGCACCUGUUUGCUUGUGGCAUCUUUUCUGUAUGCACUGGUUGCAGAAAGAUCUCAUCUUCAUACCAAAGGAUAUGAUGGGACGGAAAGGCCAGACAGCUGCUUCCUUCAGCACAUGACUGGGCAGGAAGAAUCAGGAAGCCAAGGCGUCCUUAAGUUACUAGCUACCUCUUUUGGAUACCUCAGGACUUGUCAUCUAUGAAAUUUCAGCAGUGGAAAGGGAAGACAAUAUGAGCUACUGUGGACGUGCUUCAGUAACUUGAGCUUGAAUGAAUGGGAAAGGAUGUCAUACAGCCUCACCCCUUCUUUGUCACAGAUCCAAAGCCUCAAAGGGACACCUACAGAGAAGACAGGAGGCAAGAACAUGCACUGGCAGGGAAAACAAACAAAAAUAUUGUUUACAGAAAUAAAGCAAAUUAU
ensembl:lncRNA uncharacterized LOC113482019